rnacentral:rRNA from 1 species
AUGAACAAGCAUCAAGUGAGGAAACUGAUAAGGAUUAUUAGCAAAAAAAUACGAAUGGUGGCAAGCAAAUUAUUUGUUUAUGCUCUACCCAACACAAUAGUGAGCUGUAGGAUGUGGUUCCCGAAGCAGUUCACUCAAGAUUACCUUGCAAAGUACAUGAUUGGUGGACACGCAAUGAAGGUUAAAGUAUUUCAUCCAAACUACAAUGAGCAUCGAGAAGUCCUAAUGAAGACAAUGAAGGAUGGACGGGCAGCCAUCACAAGGGGUUGGCCUAGAGUCGUGCGCGCAUUACGCAUGGAGGAGGGCACAAUAUGGGCAUUCCGCUUCACAUUCUCCAGCAACCAGAAUGUCUUUCACCUCUCUCUUUAUAGUCUUUUGUACAACUGUGGUUCAUCAUUCUUUACUUGGUGCUUCUGUAGUUCUUCAGUAUAUGUACCUAUGCAUCGAAUUAUGGAUUUGUUGUUGAACCUAUAUUUGUAA